AUUGAACGCUGGCGGCAUGCCUUACACAUGCAAGUCGAACGGCAGCACGGACUUCGGUCUGGUGGCGAGUGGCGAACGGGUGAGUAAUGUAUCGGAACGUACCUUUCAGUGGGGGAUAACGUAGCGAAAGUUACGCUAAUACCGCAUAUUCUGUGAGCAGGAAAGCAGGGGAUCGCAAGACCUUGCGCUGAUUGAGCGGCCGAUAUCAGAUUAGCUAGUUGGUGGGGUAAAGGCCUACCAAGGCUACGAUCUGUAGCGGGUCUGAGAGGAUGAUCCGCCACACUGGAACUGAGACACGGUCCAGACUCCUACGGGAGGCAGCAGUGGGGAAUUUUGGACAAUGGGCGCAAGCCUGAUCCAGCCAUGCCGCGUGCGGGAAGAAGGCCUCGG
rnacentral:rRNA from 1 species